rnacentral:rRNA from 1 species
UACAGAGGGUGCAAGCGUUGUUCGGAAUUAUUGGGCGUAAAGCGCGUGUAGGCGGCUUUGCAAGUCGGGUGUGAAAGCCCUCGGCUCAACCGAGGAAGUGCGCCCGAAACUGCAGAGCUUGAGUACCGGAGAGGAUGGCGGAAUUCCCCAAGUAGAGGUGAAAUUCGUAGAUAUGGGGAGGAACACCGGUGGCGAAGGCGGCCAUCUGGACGGAUACUAACGCUGAGACGCGAAAGCGUGGGGAGCAAACAGG